rnacentral:rRNA from 1 species
AUUGAACGCUGGCGGCAGGCCUAACACAUGCAAGUCGAGCGGUAAAGAGAAGCUUGCUUCUCUUGAGAGCGGCGGACGGGUGAGUAAUGCCUAGGAAUCUGCCUGGUAGGGGGGGAUAACGCUCGGAAACGGACGCUAAUACCGCAUACGUCCUAUGGGAAAAAGCAGGGGACCUUCGGGCCUUGCGCUAUCAAAUGAGCCUAGGUCGGAUUACCUAGUUGGUGAGGUAAUGGCUCACCAAGGCAACAAUCCGUAACUGGUCUGAGAGGAUGAUCAGUCACACUGGAACUGAAACACGGUCCAAACUCCUACGGGAGGCAGCAGUGGGGAAUAUUGGACAAUGGGCGAAAGCCUGAUCCAGCCAUGCCGCGUGUGUGAAGAAGGUCUUCGGAUUGUAAAGCACUUUAAGUUGGGAGGAAGGGCAGUUACCUAAUACGUAUCUGUUUUGACGUUACCGACAGAAUAAGCACCGGCUAACUCUGUG